AGUUGUGUGGCGUUGUGGUUUGAGCACUGGACUAUGAUUCUGGAGACCAGGGUUUGAUUCCCGGCUCAGCCA